rnacentral:rRNA from 1 species
AGCAGCCGCGGUAAUUCCAGCUCCAAUAGCGUAUAUUAAAGUUGUUGCAGUUAAAAAGCUCGUAGUUGAAUUUCGGGAUUGACGUGAUGGUCAUGCCUUAAGGGGUAUGAACUGUUACUGUUGAUUUCUCACCUUCUGGAGAAACUUGAUGUCCUUUAUUGGGUGUCUUGCGGAUCCAGGACCUUUACCUUGAAAAAUUAGAGUGUUUAAAGCAGGCAUUUUUGCUCGAAUACAUUAGCAUGGAAUAAUAGAAUAGGACGGCAUGGUUCUAUUUUGUUGGUUUCUAGGAUCACCGUAAUGAUUAAUAGGGAUAGUUGGGGGCAUUAGUAUUCAAUUGUCAGAGGUGAAAUUCUUGGAUUUAUUGAAGACUAACUACUGCGAAAGCAUUUGCCAAGGAUGUUUUCAUUAAUCAAGAACGAAAGUUAGGGGAUCGAAGACGAUCAGAUACCGUCGUAGUCUUAACCAUAAACUAUGCCGACUAGGAAUCAGACGAUGUUAAUUUUUAAUGACUCGUUU